UGGGGAAUAUUGGGCAAUGGAGGGAACUCUUACCCAGCAAUGCCGCGUGAAGGAAGAAGGUCUUCGGAUUGUAAACUUCUGUUAUAGGCGAAGAAGAAUGACGGUAGCCUAUGAGCAAGCCCCGGCAAACUAUGUGCCAGCAGCCGCGGUAAUACAUAGGGGGCGAGCGUUGUCCGGAAUGACUGGGCGUAAAGGGAGCGUAGGCGGUCAUGCAAGUUAUAUGUGAAAGCCCGGGGCUUAACCCCGGAACUGCAUGUAAAACUGCAUGGCUAGAGUGUGGGAGAGGAAAGUGGAAUUCCUAGUGUAGCGGUGGAAUGCGUAGAUAUUAGGAGGAACACCAGUGGCGAAGGCGGCUUUCUGGACCACAACUGACGCUGAGGCUCGAAAGCGUGGGGAGCAAACAGG
rnacentral:rRNA from 1 species